AUUUCUCACUUUCGCUACUUAGUGAGUAUUUAAAUAUUAACGAAGGGAUUUCUCAGAGGGCUCCUUCCGCGGGGCAGGCCUUUUACAGUCCAGGGGACACCAGAAGGAGGUUGCUCCCCAACCUGAAGCGACCGCCAGCUUGCAAGAACUCCACCGUCGUCCUUCAGUCUGGAACUUGGAAUCUGUGAAGUCCAGCUUCUCACCUCAGGUGUGCAGGCUACUAGCCAGAGAGAAUACUGGUGAAUACCUAAAAUAAGCUCCAACAGGCUCUGGAACAAUAGAAAGAACAAACAUCUGUUUGGGGGAUAGAUGUGUUGGAAAGGUUACUUGGAAGCCAAGCCCUGUCUUGGAAAAUGAACUCUCAUUUGCCUCCUAAGCCCUCCCUGCUGUUUUUUUUUUCUCUGCUUGGACAUUUUGGGGAGCUGUAGGGGAACCCUUCCACUCCCAUCCCAGCAGUUCACCGUGGAGCCAGAGGCCCUGGAGUGCCUGCCGUCUUUUAUGGUGGCGUGGCAUGAAAAACAACUCUUAACUUUUUGUAAUAAAUGUCUCUUUAUAGGUGGGUCACACACAGACUGGGCCAGUGGCCCUGGGGAGAUUGUGGGAAGCAGGAGAGAGGUGAAGGAAUGCUUGUUAGCUGGGAUUAUGGGGCUUUAAGGUAGCACUGAAAUUAAUUUCUCCAGAGUUGGGUUUCAGUAGCUGAGGCGAUCACCACAGGCCGGCCAUAGCUUUGUUUUAUUUUAACUCAUUGGUUCUGGCUCCUGGGGAUUUUAAAACGUGUGUCCAUGCGUGCACACACCGCUCCAGGGUUACAGGAAACCCGUCGCUGUGGAUUAAGCCUGCUUUUCAAGGUGGUAGUGCCACAGGUGCGAUUCCCCUCCCUUCCCACCUUGUGGAUGUGGUUUGGAUCCCGGGUGCCUGCUUUCACCACAGUCUUGCGGCCUAUUUCCAUAACGCCCCGAGUCCUGGGCUGGCGCUGAGGCCCUGUUUCCGGGAACGUGGACAAGGCCUGUGUAGUCCAGACUUUAUGCCUCGCUCUCUCUGGGUUCCCUGGUUGUCUUCCUUUUGGGGAGGGCCACAGGAGACCAUUUCAGCAGGGUCUGGCAGGGACCCGAGGCUGGAAGUUCGCUCCAGUCCUGGGAGGGCUGGCCUUGCUCAUGGUUUCUGCUAGCCUGCUUUCCCCGGCACCCCCUCCCGGUUUUAAAUUUUAUUUAUGACUUUAUCAGAGGCACCUAGCAGACAUGAACCCCAGGGUGGGACUUCAGGGGUGAUCUCAGAGGCAGGCGGCACAGUGUUGAGGGCAUGCCACUGUAGCGGGAGCUGCCGCUUGGCCUGGCCUGGUCGGCGAUGAGGUCAGUCAUUAGCAGAAGCCAGAGAUGUUCCCCCUGGUCCAUGGAAGAGGGUGACAUUGCUCAUUGGGUGAGAAGUUUGGUCUUCUGCAGAGGCUGAUGGGUAAGCCCCAGGAUUAAAACAGACCCCCAAAGGCACUUUGUCUCCUUUUCACUAGGCUCACAGGCCUGAUCAAAGGCAAGGAGCAAAGAUCAGCGCCUCAGAAGAGCUGGGCCCAGGGCCUCACAGUGUAGUUGCUAUUCGCCAAAGCUUCAGGGUCCCCUCUGCUGCCACAGAGAAUGAAUACCCUGGUCCACAGACGGUGGCCAGAUUGAGAUUCUUGAGUACACAGUGGGGCCAGCCAGGGCAUCUCCAUUUUGGAAUAUCCCCUCUCAGCAAAACUGACUUUUGAGGACUCAACACUCGCACAAAAGAGGAGGCCCUGAAAACGAAACCGGCUCUUGUCGGGUUUGCUCACUGCUGGAUACGACAUAAGGAACCGGAACGUGGCCUGUCCUGGAGUACCGCCCCGGAGGUCGGGAGCCCACCGAGGGCCGUGGAAGACCGUCCAGCCCCUCGUGGCCCAGGUCUCAGCCCCUCCUCUGACCCCUCCAGGUGAAGCCCGAGGCUGUCCACCUGUCCACCUCAGGUUCUUCCUGGCCUCCCCGUCAGACCAGACAUUGCAGAGCGUCCACGUGGAAGAGGAACCCUCAGCUCCGCCUCCGUCGCACCCUGAGGGCUCACUGUCCCCAGCUUGGGGUUGUGUGCACCUGUCCCUCUGCAGGCUUGCCCAGCCUCGAGAGCCCUGGGGACAGAAGGUGCCGAGGUAGCCCCCCUCUCUGCCCUUCCACCACUCAGCCCUCCAGUGUGACCCCGAUACUCUCCAGUCACCUCUCCUGACUUGUCGGCCAACCUGGGAUGCCACACAGGUGAGUCUCACCUGGACCGAGAAGAAAUGCCACUGAGGGAAACUGAGUCCCGUCUGCUGCUGCCUGGCUGGGCUGGGGUCCAGGGGAGAGGACUUGUGGCCAGGGUGGGCCAGGGGUCUGUCUCUGUCCCCCACCGUCUCACGGCUGUGGAUGGUGAGCGCUGCGGGCUCUGCAUGACCCCAGGCCCCGGGAGGCAGGCAGGUGCAGGCUAGGAGCAGGCUCUGGGUCUAUGAGGGGGCACACGCAUACGUGUGUCCAGCUCUGCUUGUUCAUUAAGAGCAGCCCACCUGGGCGCCAUGGCCACACCUGUAAUCCCAGCUUCUUAGGAGGCUGAGCCAGUAGGAUUGCAAGUUCAAGGCCAGCCUGAAACCCUGUCUCAAAAAAUAAAAAGGGCUAGGGGUGCAGCUCAGUGGUAGAGCACCCGAGGUUCCCUCCCCAGUCCUGCAAAACAGAAUGUGGCCUAGAAAGUGCCGGAAACAUCACAGCACACAGGGUCUGUGCCGGACUCCCGGGGCAGCAGGCGGCCAGGUUCUCAGCCAGCCCCUUGGCCUGGAGUCCUGCUGCAAAUCCUCAGCGGCAGAGGCUCAGAAGUCCCAGAGAGAGCCCAAGGCGAGGCCAGCCUCCACCUCCCUUCCGUGGGGUCCAGAUGGAGGCGGUUGAUGGGACCUCUAGUCCCUCUCAGACAUCCAAGUGGGGCCCUGGGCUGGGAGCCAGUGUCCUCCCUGGUGGCUGGGCAGUGCCAAGAUGCCCCCAGACUUCGUGCUUAGACUGCUCACCAGCGGACCAUCAGCCACCCCAGGAGAAUCUCCGGGACCUCGUCCCUGUCUGCCAGCCCAGGGGUGCAAGCUUGAGGCCGGGGACAGCUUCUGUGCACACCUCCUUCCCGGGCCUUGAGGAACAUGGGUGUCUGCCACCGUGGCUAGACGUCACCUCAUGGGGCCCUCCUGGCUGUGCCCCGUGGGAGGGAGAGUGCUGGACCUGAGCCCCAGUGCUAUGUUUGUGAUGGGCACCGGGGACUCGUUCUGGUGUCCCCUGGGGUGGGGAGCUGCACAGUGUCCGCGGCCCACCCAGAGAGCAGUGGCUGAGCACAGCAAGCAGCCUGCCUGCCCCUGAGGUCUGUCAUCUGGGGCCAGAGACCCUACCCUCUGAGCCUCAGCUGCCUCACUGUGAAGUGGGGUGGGUGGUCCCAGCCCCACCAGGGCUGUGAGGACGGGGUGGCAUAGCCUGGUGCCUGCCUGGAGGAGGCAGCCUGUCAGGAGGGGCCUGAGGGAGGUCUGAGGCAGUUUUCAAGACCGCGUGGACAUCAGGGAGCUCAGAGCCGUAGUGCCACCUUCUAGGCUGGAAGCAGAAUGUUCCAGGGGCUCUGUCACCAGGAGCUGUGUGACCUUAGAGAGUCACACGACCUCCAGGCUCAGCCUCCUCUCCUGUGAGAAGAGUUAGCAGAAGUACUGUUCACAGCCUCCCCACGGGGUCCCCUGGGGAGGUGACGGCCACACUGGUGGCUGUGGUCAGUGUACUCGAGGCUGUCUUUGGAAGCUCUGGGUAAGACAAGGGCCCCCUACCUGUCCAGGGGAGCUGCCGGCCUGGGCACUGCCCAGCCCGAGGCCCUGGGUCAUGAACACGGUUGGUGACAGCAGGAAGCAGUCCAGGCCGUGUGUGGGAAUGGGUCUCGGCCAGGCAGAGCUGCCGAGCACCCUUGGACACUUGGCCCUUGGCAAGUGACCCCUUCCUCCCAGUGUCUCCGACGCAGGAGGAAUCCCUGGGGACGUGUGGCUGCUCCUGUCGGAAGGCAGUGAUCCAGUUGCCUGUGACCAGAGCCCCUGGGCUGCCCCUCUGCUCUGCUGUCCCUCCACUUGGUCUCCUGAAGCCUCUUGUGCCUGGUGAUGCUGGCGACCUCAGAGUCCGGGCCCUCUGCUGGCACCUGUGCCCUCAACAGCAGGUCCUGACCCCCUCCCCAGCUCUCUUCCCCUCCACAGGAGGUGCCCUUGGGAACCCGAAGUCCGACUCGGCGCCAAGACUGACCGCCCUUUGGGGUGAGGUAGUAGGUUGUAUAGUUUGGGGCUCUGCCCUGCUGUGGGUUAACUAUACAAUCUACUGUCUUUCCUGAAGUGGCUGUGAUCUCUGCGAUGGACAGACGCCGCCCUGGCUGGGAGGGCCUGGGGCAUGGGGCAGUGGGAGGGCUAGCAGGCCUGGGGGCCGCGUGCAUGGCCUUGGAUGGGUCCCUCAGCACCCUCCCCUGAGUCUCGGUUUCCUCCUCCAAAAUGGGACAAAUGGGGAUUGAAGGAGAUGCUUUGUGACCUGUCCAGGGCAGAGGGGCUCACAGCUGCUGCCGCCCACUGGGCGCAGCUGGCCCGGCCUCCCUCGGGCCCCACAUCAGGCCCAGGCUCAGGCCUUCCUGGGGAGGGUCUGGACUGCACCUGGCUCCAGCCGAUAGGGCAGCGGAUAGAGCUGCAGGCUGGCAGCUCAGGCUUGGCUAGGCCGGGGGGCAGUGAGGGUCAGCCUGGCCCGCCACCCCCAGGCAGUCCGCCCACAUACCUGGGGUGGGCAGCCCGUCCACCUCAGUGUCGGGCCUCCCCUGGGGUGGGGGCGGCCAAGUGGGAAGCGAGCGGAGAGGAGCGUUCUCUGAGCCCUGGGUGCCCACAGGCACAGCGUGGGGGUGGACAGUGAGACCCAAGUCCGGGGCCUCCCAAGGCCGGCCAGCAGACACACUGCCUUUCCUGACGAGGCGUGGUUUCCACCUUCUCUCCUGCCCUGCGCCUGCCCUGCGCCUGCCCGGCCCUCCAGCUCCGGUGGCCACGCGUCACGGGCCAGGCUGGGCGGGCGUGGGGUGGCGGGGCGGGAGGCCCGCCUGCAGGGUGAGCUGGGGCGCCCGCGGGGUGAGGUAGUAGGUUGUGUGGUUUCAGGGCAGUGAUGUUGCCCCUCAGAAGAUAACUAUACAACCUACUGCCUUCCCUGAGGCGCCCAGACACACGUCGGCCCCCAGCAGGGCCACCCCGCUCGCAGGCCCUGAGGGGGCCUGGUCUGCAGGCCAGUGGGGCUGCCUGGGGCCAGGACGUCAAUAAAAGCUGUUCUGACAGGA